AGAUUGAACGCUGGCGGCAUGCCUAACACAUGCAAGUCGAACGGCAGCACGGGGGCAACCCUGGUGGCGAGUGGCGGACGGGUGAGGAAUGCAUCGGAAUCUGCCUGGUUGUGGGGGAUAACGUAGGGAAACUUACGCUAAUACCGCAUACGACCUACGGGUGAAAGUGGGGGACCGCAAGGCCUCACGCGAUCAGAGGAGCCGAUGUCGGAUUAGCUAGUUGGCGGGGUAAAGGCCCACAAGGCGACGAUCCGUAGCUGGUCUGAGAGGAUGAUCAGCCACACUGGAACUGAGACACGGUCCAGACU
rnacentral:rRNA from 1 species